GGGGCUGAAGCGAACAUAUAAACUCGCUCUGAAGAUUCAGCGGCGUCUUGUUUCUCCAAAGCACCCUCGGAUUCGCCAAUUUCUUCGCGGCUCUAUUAUGGAACAUGUGGCUGGAAAGGAAUCUUCAAUCGUUCAAGAAUAAAGCUAAGUCUUUUGAUUCUUUUUGUAAUAGUGUAGAUAUCUUGGCUUCUUGGUAGUGUCAUAGGAAUUGAAAAUUCUUUUGGGGUUUCACAGGAUCUUUGAUUUCAUUAACAUUUUACAUUUUACUUAUAUGUUGUUGUAGUUAUGUCUCUGAUAUUGCAUGAGUUCUUCGUAGUAUGAUUUAUUUUGCGAGUUAUAUUGUAACAUAGAAGUAAGGACAAGUAUGAUGUAUACAAUGUUUUCAAAGGUUUCAGGGGUUGUGCCCUGAGGCUUGGAAUCUUUACACCUCUUGUAGUGACUAGAAGGAUAAUAUCAACUUAUUGUCUAUUCUUCAAAUUAUAGUACUAUAACAUGACUUAGGGUAAUUUAAGCCUUUACUACUUUUAGCACCAUGGCUUAAAAACUAAAAUUUAAGAAUCUUUACUUAAGCAUGUGGUAAUUGAAGGAUGUGACCAUUGUCUUUUAUUUUCAAUCUCAUUAAGGCAGGUGUCUUGUCUCUUUGAGAGAAAAAGCCUCAAGGCCACCUAUUACUUAUUAAACAUUGAUUAUUUAUGGUAGGCUGGUAGCAUACAGUGAAGUUUAAUUGGCAGGGCUAUCUAGCUGUUAGUUCCUCUGUUUUUUGUUCCUCUCUUUUUCAUUUUAUUGUGAUUAAGGAGACUGAAAGCUUCAAUAUUUUGCCCUCUUUCUGUUCCCUUUGAAAUUAUCCUGUUUUCAGAUGAAAUUUACACGUCACUUGGGUGUUGGUACUUAUUUGAUAUUCUUCACUUCAUGAUGAUUAAGUUUUAUGGUAGAACCUUGUCUAUGUAAAGUUAUAAAAGUAGUCAGUUCGUUCAAUCAGCUUCCAAGGGCAUAAUAUGGCUUCUUAUUCUACCCCACCACGUCUUGUCUAUGUAAACUAAAGAAAUUUAAGUUGUUUUUUGGACCCAUAUUGCUUCUUAUUCUACCCACCACUUCUUCAUCUGGUUCUUGUCACAAAUUAUACCCUAAAUUCAUUGAGAAUGUCCCAAACCUCGAACUAUUGGAGCAUUGGCUAUGCCAAUUCUGAUCUAAUGGAUGACGUGGUACUAGCCUUCAUAGACUAACUAUAAUUCCAUAAUAACAGCAGAAGUACUGGUACUAUAACAUUGCCGCUAGUUCAGAAUUGUUAUUUAUCAACUGCUGGGGAACCAUUUUUUUCUUACUGCAGGCGUACACGUUCCAUAUUUGAUGUUGCUGUAAAAGUUCACCAGAAUGUUCAGCAUCAAGACAUAGAAGUUGGUAAGAAUUUUGGUAACCGAA